rnacentral:tRNA from 1 species
GCCGAAGUGGUGGAAUUGGUAGACACGCUAUCUUGAGGGGGUAGUGNNUGCGAGUUCGAGUCUCGCCUUCGGCACCA